rnacentral:misc_RNA from 1 species
GAUGAAGAACGCAGUGAAUUGCGAUAAGUAAUGUGAAUUGCAGAUUUUCAGUGAAUCAUCGAAUCUUUGAACGCACAUUGCGCCCCCUGGUAUUCCGGGGGGCAUGCCUGUUCGAGCGUCAUUACAACCCUCAAGCUCUGCUUGGUAUUGGGCCCCGCCAGUUCUGGCGGGCCCUAAAGUCAGUGGCGGUGCCUUCCGGCUCCGAGCGUAGUAAUUCUUCUCGCUCUGGAGACCCGGUUGUGUGCUUGCCAACAACCCCCAAUUUUUUAAGGUUGACCUCGGAUCAGGUAGGGAUACCCGCUGAACUUAAGCAUAUCAAUAAGCGGAGGA